rnacentral:rRNA from 1 species
UACCGGCAGUUCUAGUUGCAACCAACAUUAUUGGGUCUAAAACAUCCGUAGCUUGUUUAGUAAGUUUCUUGUGAAAUCUGAUAUCUCAAAUAUCAGGCGUGCAAGAAAUACUGCAAGGCUAGAGAUCGGUAGGUGUAAGAAGUACGCCGGAGGUAGUGGUAAAAUACGUUAAUCUUCGGUGGACUCACAAUUAGCGAAGGCAUCUUACAAGGACGAAUCUGACAGUGAGGGAUGAAGGCCAGGGGCGCAAAACGG